rnacentral:rRNA from 1 species
CUCCGGUUGAUCCCGCCGGACCCGACUGCUAUCAGAGUGGGACUAAGCCAUGCGAGUCAACAUAGCAAUAUGUGGCAUACGGCUCAGUAACACGUAGUCAACAUGCCCAGGGGACGUGGAUAACCUCGGGAAACUGAGGAUAAACCGCGAUAGGUCAUCACUUCUGGAAUGGGUAAUGACUUAAAUCUAUAUGGCCCCUGGAUUGGACUGCGGCCGAUCAGGCUGUUGGUGAGGUAAUGGCCCACCAAACCUGUAACCGGUACGGGCUCUGAGAGGAGGAGCCCGGAGAUGGGCACUGAGACAAGGGCCCAGGCCCUAUGGGGCGCAGCAGGCGCGAAACCUCUGCAAUAGGCGAAAGCUUGACAGGGUUACUCUGAGUGAUUUCCGUUAAGGAGAUCUUUUGGCACCUCUAAAAAUGGUGCAGAAUAAGGGGUGGGCAAGUCUGGUGUCAGCCGCCGCGGUAAUACCAGCACCCCGAGUGGUCGGGACGUUUAUUGGGCCUAAAGCAUCCGUAGCCGGUUCUACAAGUCUUCCGUUAAAUCCACCUGCUUAACAGGUGGGCUGCGGAAGAUACUAUAGAGCUAGGAGGCGGGAGAGGCAAGCGGUACUCGAUGGGUAGGGGUAAAAUCCGUUGAUCCAUUGAAGACCACCAGUGGCGAAGGCGGCUUGCCAGAACGCGCUCGACGGUGAGGGAUGAAAGCUGGGGGAGCAAACCGGAUUAGAUACCCGGGUAGUCCCAGCUGUAAACGAUGCAGACUCGGUGAUGAGUUGGCUUAUUGCUAACUCAGUGCCGCAGGGAAGCCGUUAAGUUUGCCGCCUGGGGAGUACGGUCGCAAGACUGAAACUUAAAGGAAUUGGCGGGGGAGCA